rnacentral:lncRNA from 1 species
AUGAAGGUUCUUUUGUUUGUGAAUGUAAUGUUGGGUAUUCUGGAAAUGGAUUUAAUUGUUCUAGUAAGUAUAUAUUUCAUUGAUGUGUCUAAAAUAUAUUACCUUUUUAAUCACUUAUUGUUUGUCAUUUGUAACAUCUUUUUAGACAUUAAUGAAUGUUCAAACAACCCAUGUCAUCACAAUGCCACCUGUACUGACAAUGAAGGUUCUUUUGACUGUGAAUGUAAUGUUGGGUAUUCUGGAAAUGGAUUUAAUUGUUCCAGUAAGUUAAUCUUUUAUUUAUAUGUGUCAAACAUUUAGCACUUACCUGCUAGUUACAUAUUGUUUGUUAUUUAUAAAUUGUUUUUGUAGACAUUAACGAGUGUUUCAGCAACCCUUGCCAUGUCAAUGCCAGCUGUAC